CCUACGGGAGGCAGCAGUGGGGAAUAUUGCACAAUGGGGGAAACCCUGAUGCAGCGACGCCGCGUGAGCGAGGAAGUAUUUCGGUAUUUAAAGCUCUAUCAGCAGGGACGAAAAAAGACGGUACCUGACUAAGAAGCCAGGGCUAACUACGUGCGAGCCGCCGCGGUAAUUCGUAGGGGGCAAGCGUUAUCCGAAUGUACUGGGUUUAAAGGGAGCGUAAGCGGCAAGGAAAGCCAGAAGGGAAAGGGCAGGGCUCAACCCUGGACAUGCUUUUGGAACUGUGGUGCUAGAGUGCAGGAGAGGUAAGUGGAAUUCGUAGUGUAGCGGUGAAAUGCGUAGAUAUUAGGAGGAACACCAGUGGCGAAGGCGGCUUACUGGACUGUAACUGACGUUGAGGCUCGAAAGCGUGGGGAGCAAACAGGAUUAGAUACCCCUGUAGUC
rnacentral:rRNA from 1 species